rnacentral:tRNA from 1 species
GCGGGCGUGGCGGAAUUGGCAGACGCGCCAGGUUUAGGUCCUGGUGAUCGCAAGUCGUGGGGGUUCGAGUCCCUCCGCCCGCACCA